AAAACAUGUCUUUUUGAUUAUAAUUUAAAGUCUAAUCUGCCCACUGAUAAUAUUAAAGGGCUGCAGUAUAUUGACUGUACAAAGGUAGCAUAAUCAUUAGUUUUUUAAUUGGAAACUUGUAUGAAAGAUUUGAUGAAAUAUAAACUGUCUCUAAAUUAUUAUUAAAAAUUUAUUUUUUAGUUAAAAAGCUAAAAUAAUUUUAAAAGACGAGAAGACCCUAUAGAGUUUUAUAUUUUAUUUAAUAUUAAAAUUAUAUUAAAAUUAAAAUUAAUAUUAAUUAAAAUAUUAUAUUGGGGUGAUAGAAAAAUUAAAAUAACUUUUUUUAAAAAUUAACCAUUGAUAAAUGAAUAAAUGAUCCAUUAAUAAUGAUUAUAAGAAAAAAUUACCUUAGGGAUAACAGCGUAAUAUUUUUUUUUAGUUCAAAUAAAAAAAAAAGUUUGCGACCUCGAUGUUGGAUUAAGAUAAAAUUUAAAUGCAAAUGUUUAAAAUUUUGAUCUGUUCGAUCAUUAAAAUCUUACAUGAUCUG
rnacentral:rRNA from 1 species